UUUUUUUUUUUUUUUUUUUUUUUUUUUUUUUAGGGAGCGAAUGUUUCUAAAUUUAUAGGUGCAAAAUGAGGAAUGACCCCCUUUGCGCAAAAACAUAAUAUGCCUCAUUCAAUUUGAAGUUAUU
rnacentral:ribozyme from 16 species